rnacentral:rRNA from 1 species
AGAGUUUGAUCCUGGCUCAGGACGAACGCUGGCGGCGUGGAUUAGGCAUGCAAGUCGAGCGACGGAUAGACCUUCGGGUCUAUUACGGAGCGGCGAACGGGUGAGUAACACGUGAACAACCUGCCCUCACAUUCCGGAUAAUUGGCCGAAAGGCCUUGUAAUACGGGCGAGGAUUCUGGAAAAGCAUUUUUUCGGAAGGGAAGGCGCAAGCCGUGCGAGGAGGGGUUCGCGGAUUAUCAGGUAGAUGGUGGGGUAACGGCCCACCAUGCCGACGACGAUUAGGUGGUCUGAGAGGAUGGUCACCCACAUUGGAACUGAGACACUGUCCAGACUCCUACGGGAGGCUGCAGUCGAGAAUCUUGCACAAUGUACGAAAGUAUGAUGCAGCGACGCCGCGUGGAGGAUGAAGGCCCUUUGGGUCGUAAACUCCUUUUAUGUGGGAAGAAUAAAUGACGGUACCACAUGAAUAAGCCACGGCUAGCUACGUGCCAGCAGCCGCGGUAAUACGUAGGUGGCAAGCGUUGUCCGGAUUUACUGGGCGUAAAGCGUGUGUAGGCGGAUUUUUAAGUAGGAAGUGAAAGGUUGGUGCUCAACACUAACACUGCUCCCUAUACUGGAAGUCUUGAAGACCGGAGAGGAAAGCGGAACGAGACGUGUAGCGGUGAAAUGCGUUGAUAUGUCUCGGAACACCAAUGGCGAAGGCAGCUUUCUGGACGGUGGGUUUAACCCUUAAUUUUGACGCUGAGACACGAAAGCCGAGGGAGCGAACAGGAUUAGAUACCCUGGUAGUCUCGGCCCUAAACGAUGUUCACUAGGUGUUGGGGGGUAACCCUCGGUGCCGCAGCUAACGCAUUAAGUGAACCGCCUGGGGACUACGGCCGCAAGGUUGAAACUCAAAGGAAUUGACGG